rnacentral:rRNA from 1 species
AGAGUUUGAUCCUGGCUCAGGACGAACGCUGGCGGUGUGCUUAACACAUGCAAGUCGAACGGUAAGGCCCUUUCGGGGGUACACGAGUGGCGAACGGGUGAGUAACACGUGAGUAACCUGCCCUCAUCUCUGGGAUAACAGUCGGAAACGGUUGCUAAUACUGGAUAUGAGCUUGCAAGGCAUCUUGUGGGUUGGAAAGAUAUUUUUUGGUUGGGGAUGGACUCGCGGCCUAUCAGCUUGUUGGUGAGGUAGUGGCUCACCAAGGCUUCGACGGGUAGCCGGCCUGAGAGGGCGACCGGCCACAUUGGGACUGAGAUACGGCCCAAACUCCUACGGGAGGCAGCAGUGGGGAAUAUUGCACAAUGGACGGAAGUCUGAUGCAGCAACGCCGCGUGCGGGAUGACGGCCUUCGGGUUGUAAACCGCUUUCAAUUGUGACGAAGCUUUUUUGUGACGGUAGCAGUAGAAGAAGCACCGGCUAACUACGUGCCAGCAGCCGCGGUGAUACGUAGGGUGCGAGCGUUGUCCGGAUUUAUUGGGCGUAAAGAGCUUGUAGGCGGUUUGUCGCGUCGGGAGUGAAAACUUGGGGCUUAACCCUGAGCUUGCUUUCGAUACGGGCUGACUUGAGGGAGGUAGGGGAGAAUGGAAUUCCUGGUGGAGCGGUGGAAUGCGCAGAUAUCAGGAGGAACACCGGUGGCGAAGGCGGUUCUCUGGACCUUUCCUGACGCUGAGAAGCGAAAGCGUGGGGAGCGAACAGGCUUAGAUACCCUGGUAGUCCACGCCGUAAACGGUGGGUACUAGGUGUGGGGGACAUUCCACGUUCUCCGUGCCGUAGCUAACGCAUUAAGUACCCCGCCUGGGGAGUACGGCCGCAAGGCUAAAACUCAAAGGAAUUGACGGGGCCCCGCACAAGCGGCGGAGCAUGCGGAUUAAUUCGAUGCAACGCGAAGAACCUUACCAAGGCUUGACAUACGCUGGGACGGUGCAGAGAUGUGCUGGCUUUUGCUGGUGUACAGGUGGUGCAUGGUUGUCGUCAGCUCGUGUCGUGAGAUGUUGGGUUAAGUCCC